UACGUAGGGUGCAAGCGUUGUCCGGAAUUAUUGGGCGUAAAGAGCUCGUAGGCGGUCCGUCACGCGGGGAGUGAAAUCCCUGGGGGCUUAACCCCAGAACUGCUUCCGAUACGGGCAGACUAGAGGUAGGUAGGGGAGAAUGGAAUUCCUGGUGUAGCGGUGGAAUGCGCAGAUAUCAGGAGGAACACCAGUGGCGAAGGCGGUUCUCUGGGCCUUACCUGACGCUGAGGAGCGAAAGCGUGGGGAGCAAACAGG
rnacentral:rRNA from 1 species